GGCCAAGUUUUUAAGGGCGCACGGUGGAUGCCUUGGCACCAGGAACCGAUGAAGGACGUGGGAGGCCACGAUAGUCCCCGGGGAGCUGUCAACCAAGCUUUGAUCCGGGGGUUUCCGAAUGGGGAAACCCGGCAGUCGUCAUGGGCUGUCACCCGCUGCUGAACACAUAGGCAGUGUGGAGGGAACGAGGGGAAGUGAAAC
rnacentral:rRNA from 1 species